UACGUAGGGCGCAAGCGUUGUCCGGAAUUAUUGGGCGUAAAGAGCUCGUAGGCGGCUUGUCACGUCUGCUGUGAAAUCCCGGGGCUCAACCCCGGGCGUGCAGUGGAUACGGGCUGGCUAGAGGCAGGCAGGGGAGAACGGAAUUCCCGGUGUAGCGGUGAAAUGCGCAGAUAUCGGGAGGAACACCGGUGGCGAAAGCGACUCUCUGGUCGGAUCCUGACGCUGAGGUGCGAAAGCGUGGGGAGCAAACAGG
rnacentral:rRNA from 1 species